rnacentral:rRNA from 1 species
CUCGGGCCUUGUACACACCGCCCGUCACACCAUGGGAGUGGGUUUUACCAGAAGUAGAUAGCUUAACCGCAAGGAGGGCGUUUACCACGGUAGGGUUCAUGACUGGGGUG